rnacentral:rRNA from 1 species
CGCGUAGGCGGACGAUUAAGUCAGAGGUGAAAGCCCUGGGCUCAACCUGGGAACUGCCUUUGAAACUGAUAGUCUAGAGUCCGAGAGAGGAUGGCGGAAUUCCCAGUGUAGAGGUGAAAUUCGUAGAUAUUGGGAAGAACACCAGUGGCGAAGGCGGCCAUCUGGCUCGGUACUGACGCUGAGGCGCGAAAGCGUGGGAGCAAACA